GACAGAGGGGGCAAGCGUUGCUCGGAAUUACUGGGCGUAAAGGGCGCGUAGGCGGGAUGGCAAGUCGGUCGUGAAAGCCCUCGGCUCAACCGAGGAAGUGCGCCCGAAACUGCAGAGCUUGAGUGCCGGAGAGGAUGGCGGAAUUCCCCAAGUAGAGGUGAAAUUCGUAGAUAUGGGGAGGAACACCGGUGGCGAAGGCGGCCAUCUGGACGGUCACUGACGCUGAGACGCGAAAGCGUGGGGAGCAAACAGG
rnacentral:rRNA from 1 species